GAUGAACGCUAGCGGCAGGCCUAAUACAUGCAAGUCGAGGGGCUGCGCAGUGUAGCAAUACAUGGGCGGCGACCGGCAAACGGGUGCGGAACACGUACACAACCUUCCUUUUAGCGGAGCAUAGCCCAGGGAAACUUGUAUUAAUACUCCGUAAUAUAACGAGAUGGCAUCAUUUUGUAUUAUAGAAGCAAUUCGCUAGA
rnacentral:rRNA from 1 species